UUAUUCUGGAAAGGAGAAACAGGAAAAAAUUACUGUAUAUUCCUUAAGCCAAGAGUGAGAAGUUCUAAGCAGGGUCUGGUGGCACAUGCCUGUGUCGUCAGCACCGGGGAGGCUGAGGCAGGAAGACUGCUGUGAAUUUGAGGCAACCUGAACUAACAGCGAGACCUUGUCUUCAAAACCAAACUAAAACAAAAAGAGCAAGAAGCUCUGACCUAAAUCCUUCCAGUGACUGCCCAGCUCUCCCAGAAAUGCCAGUGCUGCCCCACCCCCAGUCAUCUGCACCCCUCUGGGUGGUGCAUGAAUGGCAGGUUUGAGGGUCUGCCUGGAGCCAUGAGCCCUGGGGAAGAUGAACAGCCAGGAUAGGAUUCCCACCUCUUGAAACCAUUCGAGGCACCAUGUUGUCUUCCUAGAUAUGAUCGGAGCACGCAGUUUAACUGCCAAUGAAAUUCUUCAUCCUGUAACUCUUAAGUCUACAAUUUAGCAAAACCCAUUUCAUCAACUGCAAAAAGGUUAGUGCCAGGAGGCAGGGUAAAAGCACACUGCAACCAUCUGCCUUAAAUGCCCACUUCUUAUGUUCAGGUUAUGGGGUUUCAGGUGCAAUUAAUGAACUCUCCAUCAUAAAGUCACAGUAUGUUAAAAAUAUAAAGGAUUCAAAAUUAACUGCCAACCUACAUUGGGACUAGGAUAUUUUUAGUAGUGUCCUAGGGUUAAGUAACAGAAGACUGCCUUGUUGGAAGCAUCAAUCAAAAGACACCGUGGAAUAAAAGACUUUAAAAUAAAAUUAGGUGGGUGAAUUCUGAAUUUUAACUUCUCUCACCCACCCUAGAAAUCUGUGACUCAGCAUUUUCAAAUUCUGCAUUGCUUGGCUUCACAUGAAGUGACUGACAGUCAGUCCCUAGUCCACAGUACUCCCAAACACGGUGACAGAAGAAUCCACCGGUAACCCUGAGACUCCUUGGUGCGAGACAGUGAACGAUGGGACAGGAAAGCUGCUCUGACGUUCAGGGGAAGGAACCCAGCAGAAGGGUUUGGCCCUUUCGGAGUAUUAGGAUGGUGGAUUUGGAUCCCACUGAUUCUAAAAUGGACUGUAAUCUCUGCUGGUCCCCCGCUGAGAUGAGAAGUUGAUCCAAACUAAACAACACACACGUUUGAAGAAUAUUAAAGACAAAAGCAAUUUCUCCUUUUUCUAAGGAUGGGUUUGAUGUGAUUGCCUGUUAGAUUGAAGGUCGAACCACUUCUGAUACCAAGUCCAUUCGGCUGGUCGCAUGCUGCUCUCCCUGUCUGGUACCUGCCGAGGACGCACUGUGCCCGGAUGCUGUGGGACUCACAGGCCCGGAGUCAGCACUGCCAGCCCCAGGAGAUCGGGGGGUAGCUGGACAGCCUCUGCUGGCUGCAGAGUGGACAGCCGCGUGGAACCUACUACUCUGCAGUGUCUUCCUUGUGAGAAGACCCAUGUGGAUGAGGAGGGGACCAGCUGCCUCUGGUUGAAGCUUGUGCAGCCUCU